rnacentral:lncRNA from 1 species
GGGUACAACUCUCAACCCCUCACAAAAGAAAACACGAGAGGUAGACCACCUAUCGAACGAUCCCUCGGUAAGCGCGCUAGCCCGAGGCGAUACCCUUUCCGCGAUCCCUGGCCUCACCCUGAGUGGAAGGCUCUGAAAACAUCGAGAAAAAGAGGGCGUGAGAACUAUAAGCUAUAGUUCCCAGUGGGCAAUUACUGACCUCAGCUCCUGCUCCACUAGGCCCCAAAAAUAAGGGUAAGCAACGAUAAUAAUAAUAAGCAAUAAAAAGGAGCAUGUAAUAAACUGCUGAAAGAGAGAGCAUAAGUAAAAUGCUAUACUACUAUAUCCCUCAUAAGCACAAUGUCAAACUGUUGUACAUCUACUCUAUCAUAAGGAAAAGCAACCAAUGGCAAUUGUUAACGGUUACAACCCUUUAUUCAUACAUGAUGUAUAAGCUCUAUCAUGGCAACCAAGCAUACUGUGAUGAAAUAGGUAACCGUCAAGUAUGCUACAUGUCCCAACACUAUGCUAAAAGCAUAUAAAUGUAACUCAACUACUAAACCUAUCUAGUAGUGAUUAUCCAUUCUCAACACCGUAUCGAUUUCCAUUUCCAAUUAAGGACCUACCAAAGGUAGUCCAGCUUGUGCCGCCUAAGUGCCUGUGGUAGCCCAACAUCCCUACUCUUGGAAUGUGUCUGUCCCACUCGACCCCGUAGGCUUCUCAAUAUCGCACGAGCGAUUAUAAGUCGCGUAGGCUAACUCCGGAGUGCCGGCUUGUAGGGAGCGACCCUCACAAGCAUGUGCGAAUGAGCACAAAUGGCAAACAAGCAAAGUCCAAGUCUCCAAAAUCCAAUCCUCAUGUCUCUAACAUGGUAUGGUCACUAGCAUCCCGAAGAUCUAGUUCAAGUCACAAGGUAAAGUUUCAACAUUUGCUACGCCUAGUGCCCCUUAAUGACACUUAGGCAAUUUAAUGUUCAACAUGUUUUUCAGAUCCCUCAAUGGCCCUAUCCACUAGGUUCACACGCGUCCCGAGCUCAAUGCCGCUUGAUGACAUUAGCUCUCUAAUUCACAUACCUUCUAAAUGGCAAUCUUGUCAAUUUUCAUGUCACAAGUAAAUGUAGGUUUACAUGCAUGAAUCCGAACUCAUUUAUACUAUAGAAGCAUGAUACUACGUCUCAUAUAGAAUGCUACAUGCAACUAUGGCCUAAUAAGCUACUCUCUACUACAUAGAGGUCCAAAAUUUCAUUAUAUAUAACGUAGGCCUUUUAAGCAUUCUAAAAUUCACAAUAAAUACGUAUAACAAGAAUAUGCAUGCUUUUUCAUUUAACAACACUUAAUUAAGCACAAAUGAGAAUUUCUCAUUGUGUGGCUAGGUCAAACCCACCGAACCGUCGCGUAGGGUCUCGUUUCGCCGAACAAAGUUGUCCCCGAGUCUCAAAAUACCCUAAAAGUAAUGAGCGACAAGAUACACGGGCAUUACGAUCAUCGCAUAAUAUCAAACAUUAACCUAGAAGCAAAAAGGGUCAAAAUUUACCUCAAGAGUAGAAAUCUCUCCCAAAGCUCCAAAAGAGAGCUAGAACCCUUCCAAUCCAAGCCCUAGGAAGGUUCCAAGCCAAUCGAUUUGGGUCCAAAAGCCCUAGAUCGAGAAUGCCCAAAAUAAGCCCUAAAUCUCAUUUCUAGGGUUUCAUCUACCAAAAAGCUCCAAAACUAAGAUCUAGAGGGAGGAACCUUGCCACAUACCUCUAGGAUGCUCCAAUCCAAGCUCAAAAUCUUCUAGGGUUGAAGAUUGAUCCACCACAAAGCUCCAAAAGCAAGCUCCAAGCCUCCAAAGGUGGG